UUCAUGAGCCACACCCACUUCUUCAAAUGGGUGGGUGGCUUCACUCCCUCUUCUCUCCUUUGAAGAAGCUCUGGUUUCGCCUCCAUUCUGCUCAAAAGAAAAGAAGAGGGAUAUACAUUCUGUAUGAGGAUGUAAAGUCAUGCCCCUACGAGGAUGUGCAUGUUUUGUGGUCGAUACUAGUGGAGUCACAUACACAUACAUUGCCUGCUUUGCCAGCACCUAAAGCCUGAAGGUUGUAUAUGUCAGAUUCCCAGCUUCCACGCAUAUACAGUAUUUAUACAAGUAUUUUAUACUCUGUGUUCAAUGUAAAAAGGUGUUUACCUACUUUUUUGGUUCUUAAUUUACCUGUAAAUGUAAUGCACUUAAGUAUGGCUUUCAUAUAUAUAGGAGUUUUCGUGUGGUUCCCAAUCU